ensembl:snRNA U1 U1 spliceosomal RNA
GUAUUCACGUGGCAGGGGAGACACCAUGGUCAUGGCUAUGCUCCCAGGGUGAGGCUUAUUCACUGCCCUCUGACUGGGAGAUCCUUGCAUGUCCCCCAGUGUGGAAAACCUGAUGUGUAUUCUGUGGUAGCGGGGGGGGGGGGGGGGACUGCAUCCUGU